rnacentral:rRNA from 1 species
GACGAACCGUGCGAACGUUAUUCGGAAUCACUGGGCUUAAAGCGCGUGUAGGCGGGCCGCCCCGUCGGCUGCUGAAAUCCCCCGGCUCAACCGGGGAACGGGCACCGAUACGAGCGGCCUGGAGGGGGGUAGGGGGGUCUGGAACUUCCGGUGGAGCGGUGAAAUGCGUUGAGAUCGGAAGGAACGCCCGUGGCGAAAGCGAGGCCCUGGACCCUUUCUGACGCUGAGACGCGAAAGCCAGGGGAGCGAACGGG